rnacentral:rRNA from 1 species
AUUGAACGCUAGCGGCAGGCCUAACACAUGCAAGUCGAGCGGAUGAGUGGAGCUUGCUCCAUGAUUCAGCGGCGGACGGGUGAGUAAUGCCUAGGAAUCUGCCUGGUAGUGGGGGACAACGUUUCGAAAGGAACGCUAAUACCGCAUACGUCCUACGGGAGAAAGUGGGGGAUCUUCGGACCUCACGCUAUCAGAUGAGCCUAGGUCGGAUUAGCUAGUUGGUGAGGUAAAGGCUCACCAAGGCGACGAUCCGUAACUGGUCUGAGAGGAUGAUCAGUCACACUGGAACUGGGACACGGUCCAGACUCCUACGGGAGGCAGCAGUGGGGAAUAUUGGACAAUGGGCGAAAGCCUGAUCCAGCCAUGCCGCGUGUGUGAAGAAGGUCUUCGGAUUGUAAAGCACUUUAAGUUGGGAGGAAGGGCAGUAAGUUAAUACCUUGCUGUUUUGACGUUACCAACAGAAUAAGCACCGGCUAACUUCGUGCCAGCCGCCGCCGUAA